rnacentral:rRNA from 1 species
GACGUAGGGUGCGAGCGUUGUCCGGAAUUAUUGGGCGUAAAGAGCUUGUAGGCGGUCUGUCGCGUCUGCUGUGAAAAUCCGGGGCUCAACCCCGGACUUGCAGUGGGUACGGGCAGACUAGAGUGUGGUAGGGGAGUCUGGAAUUCCUGGUGUAGCGGUGAAAUGCGCAGAUAUCAGGAGGAACACCGGUGGCGAAGGCGGGACUCUGGACAGUGACUGACGCUGAGACGCGAAAGCGUGGGGAGCAAACAGG